rnacentral:tRNA from 1 species
GCGGGCAUAGUAUAGUGGUAAUACACGUCCUUGCCAAGGAUGAGCCGGCAGUUCGAUUCUGCUUGCCCGCU